ACCUUGCAAGCGUGUCGAACAGCUUUACUCCUAGAACUAAGUUAGCUUAGACAUCUGGGUUAAUUAGUUUCUCAGAGUGUACAUCGCUUAUGU